AUGGAUAAUUGCAACUGCACUGUGUUCAACUGGAAUGUGAGAGGACUAAAUAAUCCGACUAGGAGGAAGGUAGUUCAUGAUCUAGUACUACAGAACAGAGCUUCAAUAGUCUGUCUGCAAGAGACUAAGUUGGCACUGAUUGAUCGCCAGAUUGUCACGGAAACCUUGGGCGCAGCGUUCUGUGAUAGCUUCAGAUUUUUGCCAGCCAAUGGAACUCGAGGAGGCUUGCUUCUUGCCGUCUCUCAGGAUUUUUUCAUGAUUGACAGCCACGUUUUCUCUGAAAAUGCUAUCACUGCAAACAUUGUCAUGCGAGCAAACGGCUCCAAAUGGAGUCUCUCUACGGUCUAUGGACCGCAAUCUGAUCAGGAGAAGUUUCUUUUUAUCAAUGAGCUCAAGAGCAUCAAGCCUUCUACUCUUCCCUGUUGGCUUGUGAUUGGCGAUUUCAACCUGUUGUAUCGGGCAUCAGACAAGAGCAACUCCAAUAUCAACCGACGCCUGAUGAACUCCUUCCGAGCUGCCGUAAACUCACUG
rnacentral:rRNA from 1 species